UUAAUUGAAACCAAAUAGAGGUAUAUCACUGUUAAUGAUAUUAUUGAACUUAAAAUUCCAAUUAAA
rnacentral:tRNA from 1 species